rnacentral:rRNA from 1 species
CAAUAGCGUAUAUUAAAGUUGUUGCAGUUAAAAAGCUCGUAGUUGGAUCUGUGGUGUGCGGUGGGCUCCGGGCACUUGUUGUCUGAGUAGCUCGCCGCUGCCAUCCUUGGGUGGAACCUGUGUGGCAUUAGGUUGUCGUGCAGGGGAUGCCCAUCGUUUACUGUGAAAAAAUUAGAGCGUUCAAAGCAGGCUUAUGCCGUUGAAUAUAUUAGCAUGGAAUAAUGAGAUAGGACUUUUUCGCUAUUUUGUUGGUUUGCGCGAAGAGGUAAUGAUUAAUAGGGACAGUUGGGGGUAUUCGUAUUCCAUUGUCAGAGGUGAAAUUCUUGGAUUUUUGGAAGACGAACUACUGCGAAAGCAUUUACCAAGGAUGUUUUCAUUAA